rnacentral:lncRNA from 1 species
GGUGGAUGGAGAGGGUGGGGAUAUGUUUGAAGAGGCAGGUGCCCUACAUCUGAAAUGUUGCCAUGUCAGGUUUUUUUCUUUUUUCCUUUGAAUUUUUUUAAAAAAUCAAAGCGCUGUAAGCGCUGAAGGCAGUUAACCAAAAACCAAGGCAAACGUUAUUAUGAAAACUGUGGCAAUGUUGCUUCAAUAGUCCAUUUCCAAUUCCCAUAAUUGACCCUGUAAUU